UACGGGGGGGGCAAGCGUUGUUCGGAUUCAUUGGGCGUAAAGGGUGCGUAGGCGGCGCGGUAAGUCGGGUGUGAAAUCUUGGGGCUUAACUCCGAAACUGCAUUCGAUACUGCCGUGCUUGAGGACUGGAGAGGAGACUGGAAUUUACGGUGUAGCGGUGAAAUGCGUAGAUAUCGUAAGGAAGACCAGUGGCGAAGGCGGGUCUCUGGACAGUUCCUGACGCUGAGGCACGAAGGCCAGGGGAGCAAACGGG
rnacentral:rRNA from 1 species